rnacentral:RNase_P_RNA from 1 species
GGAGCGGGCCGGACGGCCGCUGGCCGCGGCCUCGCGCCGCGACUGGAGGAAGGUCCGGACUCCGCAGGGCAGGGUGCUGGCUAACGGCCAGGCGCAGCAAGCCGAAAGGCCCAGGGCGACGGAAAGUGGAACAGAAAGCAUACCGCCCAAGCGGCAGCCGGUUCGCCGGCUGCCGACGGCAAGGGUGAAACGGCGAGGUAAGAGCUCACCGCGGUCGUGGCGACACGACCGGCACGCCAAACCCCACCCGGAGCAACAUCGAAUAGGCAUGCGCGGCGCCUCCGGGCGCCACAGGACGGCCCGUCCGAGCAUGCGGGUAGAUGGCUCGAGCGGCCGGGCAACCGGUCGCCCAGACGAAUGGUCGUCACGCCGGGCUUCGGUCCGGCGAACAGAAUCCGGCCUACAGGCCCGCUCCCCCC